rnacentral:tRNA from 1 species
AUAAUAUUAAUAAUACAAUUACUAUUUUGGCAGAUUAGUGCCUUAAAUUUAGAAUUUAAUUAUGUAAUUUAUAUUACAAAUAGUACUUGUUUUAU